CACGGGGGGAGCAAGCGUUGUUCGGAAUCACUGGGCGUAAAGGGCGUGUAGGCGGUCAAGUAAGUGGGAUGUGAAAUCCCUCGGCUCACCCGAGGACCUGCAUCCCAAACUGCUUGGCUUGAGUAUGGGAGAGGAUGAGGGAAUUCCUGGUGUAGCGGUGAAAUGCGCAGAUAUCAGGAGGAACACCAAUGGCGAAGGCAGCUCGCUGGGACGUGACUGACGCUGAGACGCGAAAGCGUGGGGAGCAAACAGG
rnacentral:rRNA from 1 species